GGAAGCCACGAUGAGCUUAUGAGUAAAGGAGAGAAUGGUAUGUAUGCCAAGCUCAUCAAAAUGCAAGAAGCGGCUCAUGAAACCGCUCUUAGUAAUGCCAGAAAGAGCAGUGCAAGGCCCUCGAGUGCAAGGAACUCUGUAAGCUCACCAAUCAUCACUAGGAACUCUUCAUACGGUCGAUCACCAUACUCCCGCCGGUUGUCUGACUUUUCUACCUCGGACUUCAGUCUCUCUCUUGAUGCUGCAUAUUCGAAUUACCGAAAUG
rnacentral:misc_RNA from 1 species